rnacentral:sRNA from 1 species
UCCGUAGGUGAACCUGCGGAAGGAUCAUUAGAGAAACAAUACUUGGGUUGGUGGUUGACGUCGCAAGACUAGACCCUACCCUUUUAUUAUCCACACACCUGUGCACUGUAGAGCCUUUGAUCUUUAUUGAUCGAGGUUCGCCCUUUAUACAAACAUUAGUAGUCCUAAACGUAACGUCUUAUUAUAACCUAAUAAAACUUUCAACAACGGAUCCCUUGGCUCUCGCAUCGAUGAAGAACGCAGCGAAAUGCGAUAAGUAAUGUGAAUUGCAGAAUUCAGUGAAUCAUCGAAUCUUUGAACGCACCUUGCGCCCUUUGGUAUUCCGAAGAGCAUGCCUGUUUGAGUGUCAUGAAACUAUCAACCCUGACUUGGUUUACUCCUCGUCUUGGCUUGGACUUGGGUGUUUGCUGCUGUUGAAGCUGCUCGCCUUAAAAGGAUUGGCUGGACCUGCUUUGCGGAUAGGUUUGACUCGGCGUAAUAAGUUAUUUCGCUGAGGACAUCUUCGGAUGGCCUGACUGCUUUGCGACUGUCUGCUUUCUAACCCUGUUCCCUUUAUUGGGACAUGACUUUAUUAUUUGGCCUCAAAUCAGGUAGGACUACCCGCUGAACUUAAGCAUAUCAAUAAGCGGAGGAAAAGAAACUAACAAGGAUUCCCCUAGUAACGGCGAGUGAAGCGGGAAGAGCUCAAAUUUGAAAUCUGGCAGCCUUUGGUUGUCCGAGUUGUAAUCUAUAGAAACGUUUUCCGCGUUGGCCCAUGUACAAGUCUGCUGGAAUGCAGCGUCAUAGAGGGUGAGAAUCCCGUCCUUGACAUGGACUACCAGUGCUUUGUGAUACGUUUUCAACGAGUCGAGUUGUUUGGGAAUGCAGCUCAAAAUGGGUGGUAAAUUCCAUCUAAAGCUAAAUAUUGGCGAGAGACCGAUAGCGAACAAGUACCGUGAGGGAAAGAUGAAAAGCACUUUGGAAAGAGAGUUAAACAGUAUGUGAAAUUGUUGAAAGGGAAACGCUUGAAGU